UGCAAGACGAACGGCAAGUUUGAUAGCAAUAUUGAACCUAGAGUGUCGUAAGGGUGCGUAACACGUAUGCAAUCUACCCGAAACUGGAGCAUAGCUCCCCGAAAGGGGAAUUAACACUCCAUAAGAUCAUAGAAUGGCAUCAUUUAGUGAUUAAAACUGAGGUGGUUUCGGAUGAGCAUGCGUUUGAUUAGUUAGUUGGUGAGGUAAUGGCUCACCAAGACGAUGAUCAAUAGGGGAACUGAGAGGUUGAUCCCCCACACUGGCACUGAGAUACGGGCCAGACUCCUACGGGAGGCAGCAGUAGGGAAUAUUGGACAAUGGGUGAGAGCCUGAUCCAGCCAUGCCGCGUGCAGGAAGAAGGCCUUCUGGGUUGUAAACUGCUUUUGCCAGGGGAUAAAAUUUCCAUGCGUGGAGAAUUGAAGGUACCUGGUGAAUAAGCCACGGCUAACUACGUGCCAGCAGCCGCGGUAAUACGUAGGUGGCAAGCGUUGUCCGGAUUUAUUGGGUUUAAAGGGUGCGUAGGCGGUUCCAUAAGUCAGUGGUGAAAUACAAUAGCUUAACUAUUGAGGUGCCAUUGAUACUGCGGAACUUGAGUACAGACGAGGUAGGCGGAAUUGACGGUGUAGCGGUGAAAUGCUUAGAUAUCGUCAAGAACACCGAUAGCGAAGGCAGCUUACUAGACUGUAACUGACGCUGAGGCACGAAAGUGUGGGGAUCAAACAGGAUUAGAUACCCUGGUAGUCCACACUGUAAACGAUGAUUACUCGAUGUUGGCGAUACACAGCCAGCGUCUUAGCAAAAGCGAUAAGUAAUCCACCUGGGGAGUACGCCGGCAACGGUGAAACUCAAAGGAAUUGACGGGGGUCCGCACAAGCGGUGGAGCAUGK
rnacentral:rRNA from 1 species